AGACGGAGGGUGCAAGCGUUAAGCGGAAUUACUGGGCGUAAAGCGCUCGUAGGCGGCUUGUUAAGUCGGAUGUGAAAGCCCCGGGCUCAACCUGGGAACUGCAUUCGAUACUGGCAGGCUAGAGUAUAGUAGAGGCAAGUGGAAUUCCGGGUGUAGCGGUGAAAUGCGUAGAUAUCCGGAGGAACAUCAGUGGCGAAGGCGACUUGCUGGACUAAUACUGACGCUGAGGAGCGAAAGCGUGGGGAGCAAACGGGAGUAGAAACCCCGGUAGUCC
rnacentral:rRNA from 1 species